rnacentral:pre_miRNA from 14 species
CUGAUUUGUUUACCUAGCAAACAAGCUAGUGAAAGAUCCCCCGAAUGGGGAGACCCUCACUCAAGUCUCGGGAUGACGCGACCCCCGAGAACUCACUUAAGACC